AGCCUUAUAUUCAAAAAUGAUUUUAAACUGCAAAUUUAAAGGUGGGUAAGCCCUAAGGCUU
rnacentral:tRNA from 1 species